UACGUAGGGUGCAAGCGUUGUCCGGAAUUAUUGGGCGUAAAGAGCUCGUAGGCGGUUUGUCGCGUCUGCUGUGAAAACUCGGGGCUUAACCCUGGACCUGCAGUGGGUACGGGCAGACUAGAGUGCGGUAGGGGAGAUCGGAAUUCCUGGUGUAGCGGUGAAAUGCGCAGAUAUCAGGAGGAACACCGGUGGCGAAGGCGGAUCUCUGGGCCGUAACUGACGCUGAGGAGCGAAAGCAUGGGGAGCGAACAGG
rnacentral:rRNA from 1 species